rnacentral:misc_RNA from 1 species
AAAUUAGCAGACCUCGUUAAACAUAACCAGACGAUGAUAUUGUGUAGAAUACAACCUCGUGGCACAGGGCAGUGGCCAGACGAUCUCUUCGGACCAAUUAAUAAUAUUUCAUUAAUAAAUUAAUGCCAGAUCAUAACGGCACCUCUGAUUGGCCACUACUAUAUGACACACUCAGCCUAUUAGUAGCUGUUUUGCCAAAUCUGUUGCGACUGCUUGGGUUGUUGACCCUGAGACCCUCCCAGAGACGCGUCCCUGAGAGUUUGCUGUUGGCCGUCCAGUGAUAUACCUG